AAGAGAAUGUCUCCGAGUCUCUG
rnacentral:misc_RNA from 1 species